UGGGGAAUCUUCCGCAAUGGACGAAAGUCUGACGGAGCAACGCCGCNUGAGUGAUGACGGCCUUCGGGUUGUAAAGCUCUGUUAAUCGGGACGAAAGGCCUUCUUGCGAAUAGUGAGAAGGAUUGACGGUACCGGAAUAGAAAGCCACGGCUAACUACGUGCCAGCAGCCGCGGUAAUACGUAGGUGGCAAGCGUUGUCCGGAAUUAUUGGGCGUAAAGCGCGCGCAGGCGGAUAGGUCAGUCUGUCUUAAAAGUUCGGGGCUUAACCCCGUGAUGGGAUGGAAACUGCCAAUCUAGAGUAUCGGAGAGGAAAGUGGAAUUCCUAGUGUAGCGGUGAAAUGCGUAGAUAUUAGGAAGAACACCAGUGGCGAAGGCGACUUUCUGGACGAAAACUGACGCUGAGGCGCGAAAGCCAGGGGAGCGAACGGGAUUAGAUACCCCGGUAGUCCUGGCCGUAAACGAUGGGUACUAGGUGUAGGAGGUAUCGACCCCUUCUGUGCCGGAGUUAACGCAAUAAGUACCCCGCCUGGGGAGUACGACCGCAAGGUUG
rnacentral:rRNA from 1 species